GUACUCUCUUUGGCAGCACAUAUACUAGAACUAGAACAACCCAAAAAAGAUUAGCAUGGCCCCAGUGCAAGAAUGACACGCAGGGCCCGGAGAGAUAGCACAGCUGC